rnacentral:misc_RNA from 1 species
GUGAAUCAUCAAAUUUUUGAACGCAAAUUGCACUCUCUGCGGUGAGUAUGCGUGUUUGAGGGUCAGCCUAAAAAAAAUCGACAUAGUCGCUGUUUCGCGGUGACAUUCGUCGGAGAUUGGGUCAUCUUAAAGCUUUUGGUUUUAAGCGACUUAAAAUUUUCUUUUUGGUUACAUGAACGUUUCUAAGAUUUAUUUCUUUACACGUUGAAGGUAUCGAUUUUUAUUAGACGUGACCAUCAUAUCGGAUAGCGACCAUAAUCUUGCAUUAACUGACCUCAGAC